rnacentral:rRNA from 1 species
GCCCGCACAAGCGGUGGAGCAUGUGGUUUAAUUCGAUGCAACGCGAAGAACCUUACCUACUCUUGACAUCCAGAGAAUCUAGCGGAGACGCUGGAGUGCCUUCGGGAACUCUGAGACAGGUGCUGCAUGGCUGUCGUCAGCUCGUGUUGUGAAAUGUUGGGUUAAGUCCCGCAACGAGCGCAACCCUUAUCCUUGUUUGCCAGCGAGUAAUGUCGGGAACUCCAGGGAGACUGCCGGUGAUAAACCGGAGGAAGGUGGGGACGACGUCAAGUCAUCAUGGCCCUUACGAGUAGGGCUACACACGUGCUACAAUGGCGCAUACAGAGGGCGGCCAACUUGCGAAAGUGAGCGAAUCCCAAAAAGUGCGUCGUAGUCCGGAUUGGAGUCUGCAACUCGACUCCAUGAAGUCGGAAUCGCUAGUAAUCGUGGAUCAGAAUGCCACGGUGAAUACGUUCCCGGGCCUUGUACACACCGCCCGUCACACCAUGGGAGUGGGCUGCAAAAGAAGUGGGUAGUUUAACCUUCGGGAGGACGCUCACCACUUUGUGGUUCAUGACUGGGGUGAAGUCGUAACAAGGUAGCGCUAGGGGAACCUGGCGCUGGAUCACCUCCUUA